UACGAAGGGGGCUAGCGUUGUUCGGAUUUACUGGGCGUAAAGCGCACGUAGGCGGAUUUGUAAGUCAGGGGUGAAAUCCCGGGGCUCAACCUCGGAACUGCCUUUGAUACUGCAAAUCUCGAGUCCGGAAGAGGUGAGUGGAAUUCCUAGUGUAGAGGUGAAAUUCGUAGAUAUUAGGAAGAACACCAGUGGCGAAGGCGGCUCACUGGUCCGGUACUGACGCUGAGGUGCGAAAGCGUGGGGAGCAAACAGG
rnacentral:rRNA from 1 species